rnacentral:rRNA from 1 species
GACGAACGCUGGCGGCGUGCUUAACACAUGCAAGUCGAACGGUAAGGCCCUUCGGGGUACACGAGUGGCGAACGGGUGAGUAACACGUGGGUGAUCUGCCCUGCACUUCGGGAUAAGCCUGGGAAACUAGGUCUAAUACCGGAUAGGACCCUGGGAUGCAUGUCCUGGGGUGGAAAGCUUUUGCGGUGUGGGAUGGGCCCGGGGCGCAUUAGCUAGUUGGUGAGGUAACGGCUCACCAAGGCGACGAUGCGUAGCCGACCUGAGAGGGUGAUCGGCCACAUUGGGACUGAGACACGGCCCAGACUCCUACGGGAGGCAGCGGUGGGGAAUAUUGCACAAUGGGGGAAACCCUGAUGCAGCAAUGCCGCGUGAGUGAUGACGGCCUUCGGGUUGUAAGCCUCUUUCAGCACCGACGAAGCGCAAGUGACGGUAGGUGCAGAAGAAGGACCGGCCAACUACGUGCCAGCCGCCGCCGUAA